CUUCACUAAAUAUCUUUUGAGAAAAUUGAACUUUAUUAAGAAAAUAAUCAGAUAUGACAAAAGCAACCUUCUUAGAGAUUGUCUUAGCCAUCAUUCUACCUCCUCUAGGUGUUUUCCUUCGCUAUGAAUGCAAGGUUAGUUCAAAUUAUCAUAAUAAGAAUUUUGGUGAAUAUUAGUAUUAUGUAAUCUUUUGAAAUUGCAUAUUAAUUUUUUUGGUAUGAUUUGUUGUUGUAUAUGCAGUCAGAGUUCUGGAUAUGUCUUGUGCUGACUAUCCUUGGGUAUCUUCCUGGAAUCAUUUAUGCAGUCUACGUCAUCACCAAAUGAUGAUCCCCAAAAAUACAUGUUUUUCUUCCAUUUCUUUGAUGUGAGAAAUUUUUGUGAUUGUUGAUGUUGUUGGAUACUUGCUUAUCACUGUUCUGUAAACGAAGAAUUCUCAUUUCUUUUGACAUAUUAUUUGGUAUAUAUAUGUAAGAAGGAGAAAGUGUUUUUUUUUUUUUUUUUUUUUCAAUAAUCAUAAUUUAUUAAAAGAGCCCUGAUUAGCCAGGAAGCAUAUUAGAAAAGAAGGAGAAAGUUGACUUGUGAUCUUUGUAUGGCUUGGCUUUAUUUUUUUUUGAACAAAAAAUAAUUCUUCAUGUCAAAUUCUGUCAUCUGUUUACUCGAUGUAUAAGUGGAGUAGUAAAUUUGCCAAUCAAACAAAUAUAUGAAUACAUUUUUAAUAUUUUCUAUCUUAGAAAUAGAUUACUACGUACACUAAAUGUGCCACAACUAAGCAGCUGGUAUAGAACUAUAUAGAUUAUUGUCAUAUGAAAUGUUAGAUCAUAUCGACCCCAAAGACAUGUACAAUUGUACAAAGGCGAAAACAUCAAUCAAAAUUCAAAAGGAAUGAAGAUGGAAAGAUACGGCUUUAUUGUGUCCUACUCGUGUCACCUGUAAAGAAUGUAUACAUACCGCAUCGCAUCUACUGAUCUAUUGCAAAUGGUUGUUAAAACAAAAAAGUUGCGAGAAUCAAGUUACUUUAGAGUCUAGCAUGGAAUUAACAUGGCUUAGUGUGACACAAAAGAGAUAUUCUCUCAGCAGUCAGCAUUGCUGUUCAUGUGGGUUCUUAAAGCAAAAUCAACUUGCCAUGUUAUGAUAUUGAGCUCACUCAAUAGAAGCUUAAUUGUUACUCCUGGUCUAUGCAUAACCGACUGGAAGUAUGCUGAUUAGAUGUCAGUCGACUGAAUCGGUAUUCUUGGUUGUAUUAUUUUGCUACAUUAGAUAUCUUCAGGGAGGGUAGAUUUCUGCCUUGAUAGUGAUACGUUUUUGAUGUUUUAAACGUUUCUUUAAGCUAGAUGAAAAAGAUCAGAAAUUGUGGAAUUGAACUCUCAUCACAUUAUCGCACGAAUGUACAUUUUUGAGCCAGAAUGACCAAAUGCCAGCGUGGCUCCAUAACUCAAUGCGUUCAUUAUUCUGCCGACUUCAAAACACCAAUAUCUACAUAACACGUGUUUUCUUUUUGAGCUCCUAAAUACGUGGCGAUUAACCGCGUUUAAGAGUAGAAAAUUGCACAAAUAACUUGUACCACAAGAACAUUUGUUGUAUGCUAAGCAAAAUAAAAACAACGUUAGCAUACCACGUGUUCCAUUUUCUUAAAAAUAAUUAAUGACUCAUGGGCUUCCACACUAAGAAACACCUGGACCAGUUUCUUACUUUCUUGUUCCACCCAUCUCUAUUUUGUCUAUAAAAAGACAGAGAUGAGAAACCAACAUAGUGUGCUUCAUAUCAUAAUAUCUUCUCUUCCGAGUUUUAUUGCAAUUUCUCUAUUUCUUUGUGUUUGUGUAAAGGAUAAGAUAUGGGAUCAGCAACUUUCUUAGAGAUUAUUUUGGCUAUCAUUCUACCUCCUCUAGGUGUUUUCCUUCGUUAUGAAUGCAAGGUUAGUACUUAGUAGUUAGUACUAGUAGUACCAUACUUAUGUUCUUAAUUUUGAAAUUACUUAUAAUUGACUAUGAUUUGUUGUAUAUGCAG
rnacentral:lncRNA from 1 species